UACGGAGGGGGCUAGCGUUAUUCGGAAUUAUUGGGCGUAAAGGGCGUGUAGGCGGCCUUGUAUGUCUCAUGUGAAAUCCCCGGGCUCAACCCGGGAACUGCGUCCGAUACUGGAAGGCUUGAAUUCGGGAGAGGGAUGCGGAAUUCCAGGUGUAGCGGUGAAAUGCGUAGAUAUCUGGAGGAACACCGGUGGCGAAGGCGGCAUCCUGGACCGACAUUGACGCUGAGGCGCGAAAGCCAGGGGAGCAAAC
rnacentral:rRNA from 1 species